rnacentral:rRNA from 1 species
AGCGCUACAUGUUACUGUAGAAAACACCUUUUUUAUUAGAGUCGCUGACUAGCGCACCUCGUACUAACUAAAUGCGACCUACACACAUUUUAACACAGGUUGCAUCGCGUUGCGCUGUGCAGAGACAGUGCGCGCGGAAGAGUUUAUUUACCGCCUCCUCCGCGCUUUGCGAGACGGUCAGACAUUUACCAAAGACACUGAUGAUACCAUAGGAUAUGAACGUCCAUGAAACUCGCUUGGUCAUGCGGUCGUCUAAAAUCUAAAAACAACUUUUGGCAACGGAUCUCUUGGUUCUCCCAUCGAUGAAGAACGCAGCGAAUUGCGAUAAGUAAUGUGAAUUGCAGAAGUGAAUCAUCGAAUCUUUGAACGCACCUUGCGCUCCCGGCAGAUCUAAUCUGGGGAGCAUGCCUGUUUGAGGGCCGCGAAUUGUUUCGAACGACAGCUUUCUUAUUUAGUUGAGAAAGGUGGCGGAUCGGUAUUGAGGGUCUUGCCAUCUUCCACGGUGGCUCCCUCGAAAUGCAUUAGCGCAUCCAUUCGAUAGGCAAGACGGACGAAAGCUCGUUAUUUCGCCCACGUCUUUCCCUGCCGGGUUUUGAUAAUAUCAGGACUUCGGAGAGGAGAGGCGCAGGGUCGAGGAGCUGGACGCGACGUUUUGCUGGUUGGAGUGCUUCUGAACCCCGCCCAUGCCUUCCCUUCUUCGGAAGGAGAGGAAGGGAUUUAAUUUCAAUUCAUCGGCCUCAGAUUGGUAGGACUACCCGCUGAACUUAAGCAUAUCAAUAAGCGGAGGAAAAGAAACUAACAAGGAUUCCCCUAGUAACGGCGAGUGAAGAGGGAAGAGCCCAAGAUUGAAAGCUGGCGUCUUCGGCGUCCGCAUUGUAAUCUCAAGAAGUGUUUUCCGCUUCGGACCAAGCCUAAGUCCCUUGGAAAAGGGCAUCAUAGAGGUGAGAUAAUCCCGUACAUGGCUUGGAGCGCCCGAAGCUUUGUGAUAUGCUUUCUAAGAGUCGAGUUGUUUGGGAAUGCAGCUCAAAAUGGGGUGGUAAAUGCCAUCUAAGGCUAAUAUAUUGGGAGAGACCGAUACCGAAUAAGCGGAAACAAAGGUACCAGUGAUGGGAAAAAGAUGGAAAAAAGAACCUUUUGAAAAAAGAGGAAGUUUAACACCAAGUGACCGGUGGAAAAAUUUGGCCCAAAAAAAGGGGCACAGGGCGUCAGGGAGGGUCAAGGAAGAAUGCGCGCCUCUCGCGGUAAUGUGCUAGACCCUCUGCUUGUAUUGGCUCUGCGUUGUGUUCUAUGCCACGAGCAUUAGGCUAGCGGCACAAGCGUAGCGCGUCUUAUGGGAGCACUCGAGCAGAAAAGAGAGUAAGGGAAGGGACAGCAUGGAGGCAGCCCUUCUGCUGGGAGUUGUAGUUAAUAGGCCCUGCCUGACUGAGAUACCACGCCGCACAGAAGAACCGCAGGGCACACGACCAGCCGUCUUUACGCUAAGAGCCGAGGCCUCUUCGAGGGCGACUCUUGUACGAUUCGAAGGCCUAUCGCGGCUAGUAUAGUGGCAUAC